AGUGAACGCUGGCGGUAGGCCUAACACAUGCAAGUCGAACGGCAGCAGAGUAAGAGCUUGCUCUUACGGGUGGCGAGUGGCGGACGGGUGAGGAAUACAUCGGAAUCUACUUUUUCGUGGGGGAUAACGUAGGGAAACUUACGCUAAUACCGCAUACGACCUACGGGUGAAAGCAGGGGAUCUUCGGACCUUGCGCGAUUGAAUGAGCCGAUGUCGGAUUAGCUAGUUGGCGGGGUAAAGGCCCACCAAGGCGACGAUCCGUAGCUGGUCUGAGAGGAUGAUCAGCCACACUGGAACUGAGACACGGUCCAGACUCCUACGGGAGGCAGCAGUGGGGAAUAUUGGACAAUGGGCGCAAGCCUGAUCCAGCCAUACCGCGUGGGUGAAGAAGGCCUUCGGGUUGUAAAGCCCUUUUGUUGGGAAAGAAAAGCAGCAGGUUAAUACCCCGCUGUUCUGACGGUACCCAAAGAAUAAGCACCGGCUAACUUCGUG
rnacentral:rRNA from 1 species